UGUCAUCUUAUGAUCUCCUGUCCCCCAUCUUCUCCACCGCCACAAUCAUUUGCACCAGCAAUGAAAGCCCUCAGCCAGCAACGAUGGUGAUGAGUCGAUGAUUCUCCACUAUUGCAAGUCUCUCGUUAAUGGAUUUACUAUCUCUGAUCAUCCUUCUAACCUGUUCUCCUGUAUUUAAUGCAAAACCCAAAUCGUCAUCAGUUGGUGGCUCCAGUAGUCCUCCACUGGGCUUCUCACCUCAGGGAAUCCGAUUUUAAAGAGAGCGGGUGGAUGCUCGAAAUCUCUCUGAUUAUGGUUUCUUUACCAUGGGUUUCAAUUAACUUGAGAGAAUUUUUCUUAGGUUCUUACCUUGGGCUUCAAUCUCUCUGACUCUGCCAUUUUGGUUUCUUACCUCGUUUUGUGUUUUAUUCAUGGCAGGUAUGGAGAUGGAAGAGAGGAAUUAGAGGGGUUUCAAUGUGUCAGGGUUAAACACCCUCAGCCAAAAGCGUGACUAAACGAUGGAUCUGGUUCAAUUUUUGCUUUUGGUCUUUGAUUUCUGAUGUCAAGAGAUCAACCAGUUCCACAUCAGCAUUUUGGAUCAGAGUUUAGUCCAGCUAAGCAAUUCAAACGGUCAACAUCUCGUGAUUUAAUGUCAGGUAAUGAGUGCUCAGAAUUAAUCAUCUUAGGGACGAAAAUGCUGUACAAAAUAAGUGCUCCUCAUAGAAAAUAUUAGGGAAAAAAUGCACUUUUAUCUUUAAAUUUUUUAAAAUGUGAAGCCGGCGAAGUAUGAAUAAAUCGAACCAAAAUUCUAAUUCUUUUUUAAUUCAUGAUGCAUGCACAGCAUCUAGCACGCAUGUAUGCAGUA